rnacentral:rRNA from 1 species
CACAAGCGGUGGAGCAUGUGGUUUAAUUCGAUGAUACGCGAGGAACCUUACCUGGGCUCGAACGUAAGAUGACUGUAGGUGAAAGCUUACAUCUCUUCGGAGCAUUUUACGAGGUGCUGCAUGGUUGUCGUCAGCUCGUGCCGUGAGGUGUCGGGUUAAGUCCCAUAACGAGCGCAACCCCUAUCAUUAGUUGCCAUCAGGUCAAGCUGGGGACUCUAAUGAAACUGCCUACGCAAGUAGUGAGGAAGGUGGGGAUGACGUCAAAUCAGCACGGCCCUUACGUCCAGGGCUACACACGUGCUACAAUGGCCGGUACAAAGGGCAGCUACCUGGUGACAGGAUGCUAAUCUCAAAAGCCGGUCUCAGUUCGGAUCGGAGUCUGCAACCCGACUCCGUGAAGUUGGAUUCGCUAGUAAUCGCGCAUCAGCCAUGGCGCGGUGAAUACGUUCCCGGGCCUU